GACGAACGCUGGCGGCGUGCUUAACACAUGCAAGUCGAGCGAUGAAAGCCUUAUGAACUAUUCGUAGUGAUUGGGGCCGGAUUAGCGGCGGACGGGUGAGUAACGCGUGAGCAACCUGCCUUAAACAACGGGAUAGCCUCGGGAAACCGGGAUUAAUACCGUAUGAGACCCCGCCUUCACAUGAAGAAGCGGUUAAAGAUUUAUCGGUUGAAGCUGGGCUCGCGUCUGAUUAGCUAGUUGGUGAGAUAAAAGCCCACCAAGGCAACGAUCAGUAACCGGCUUGAGAGAGUGAACGGUCACAUUGGAACUGAGACACGGUCCAAACUCCUACGGGAGGCAGCAGUGGGGAAUAUUGCACAAUGGGGGAAACCCUGAUGCAGCGACGCCGCGUGAGCGAUGAAGGAAUUCGUUUCGUAAAGCUCUGUCCAAGGGGAAGAUAAUGACAGUACCCUUGGAGGAAGCCCCGGCUAAAUACGUGCCAGCCGCCGCCGUAAAAC
rnacentral:rRNA from 1 species